rnacentral:rRNA from 1 species
CUACGGGUCGCUGCAGUGAGGAAUCUUCCGCAAUGGGCGAAAGCCUGACGGAGCAACACCGCGUGAAGGAUGAAGUGGUUCGCCACGUAAACUUCUUUUCUGAGAGAAGAAUUCUGACGGUAUCUUAGGAAUAAGCGACGGCUAACUCUGUGCCAGCAGCCGCGGUAAGACAGAGGUCGCAAGCGUUAUCCGGAAUCACUGGGCGUAAAGCGUGUGUAGGCGGAACAUAAAGUCGGGGGUAAAAUUUUCAAGCUUAACUUGAAACGCGUCUCCGAAACUUAUGUUCUUGAAGGAUGGAGAGGCAAGUGGAAUUCUGUGUGUAGGGGUAAAAUCCGUUGAUACACGGAGGAACGCCAAAAGCGAAAGCAGCUUGCCGGCCAUUUCUUGACGCUGAGACACGAAAGCGUGGGGAGCAAACAGGAUUAGAUACCCGGGUAGUC